rnacentral:lncRNA from 1 species
AAACUGUGUCCUGAAGGCUGAGUAGGGUUUGGGAAGUGAGGAGGGAUAGGUAUGUGGCCCAGGCAAAGGAUCAGUGGAUGUCCUCAUAGGACAACACAUCUCUGGUUGUCUGAUUAGUUCAAGGUGAGGCUCUGUGUAUACAUGUACCAAAUGGCCAAAUAUAUAACCCAGGAGAGGGGAAGAGGAAGAAAGAGAAGUGUGGGGAGAAAGAAGGAGGAAUAGUCACAGAAAUUGAGAGAAAAGGAGGGAGAAAAGAAGAAGAAGAAGGGAGACAAGGAGAGAGAAGUUGGUUGAGUUGAGUAGACAGAUCUGAGUCAUCAUUCUUGGAAAACUCAAGAGUGGUGAUUGGCCAGCUGCCUCUUGGAGCAUUCCCUGUACCUGGUCCUGUGCUCAGAUAUGGGGGAUUUGAAGAGAGUCAUCCCUGCCAUCAUGUAUUCACACUCCUGCUGAGGAAAGGAAACUUUGUACAGGGAAUAAUGCUAAGUAUUGCAAAUUUGGGGGUAGAAAGAGAUCAAGGUAAGUUAAAACAGUCAAGGAAGUCUUGACAGUUCUUGGAGUUGACCCUACUGAGAUGGUUUAACUGCUACACAUUCCUGACUGGGGGUGCUAUUGUGGGAACUGCCUCUCCCAUGGCUGACAGUGUCCAUGUUGAUUUCAGGACUCAGGAUGCUGUUGCUGCAAGCCCUUCUACUGCUAUUAGGCCUGCUUAGUCAUGCCCAGGAUGUUACUACUGAAGGGCCAGGAGCCCUGCUUCCCAUGCCCAAGGGGGCCUGUGCAGGUUGGAUGGCAGGCAUCCCAGGGCAUCCUGGUCAUAAUGGAACCCCAGGCCGUGAUGGAAGAGAUGGCACCCCUGGUGAGAAGGGUGAGAAGGGAGACACAGGUAAGAACAAGGUUUUUUGUUUCCUUCAUCAUUCCUGGGUAGAGGAGGGUCUCCAGGGCUACAUGAGAGCACUAGUUAUUACUUAAGGCCUAGACACAGGAAAGAUGCAGCACUUUUUUCUUAUGUGACCAUUAAGCAGCCUGGAAUGGAUUUUGAGUUGGAUGUCCAGGGGAGAGACAAGGUGGUACCUUUAAACCCAAAUGACUCCGAUCCACCUGCAUCUCCUUCCUUGUCCCUUUCCCAUCCUCUUAUUCCCCAAAUGUUCACUUUUUCUAUUCUUUUCUCUUUCAUUCCUGUUUCUUCCAGCAGCAUUCAACCACUCUUAACUGCAUACUCUCCAAUGUUCUCCACAAGUUUCGGAGAACUCUUGGUUUUGUUAAGAGGAUAACUCUAACGUACAAGACUCUGUUACGGGUUACUACAAGAAAGCCAAACUGAAUGUGAACAAGUGUCCAAAGUGUGGAACACAGAGAAAAUAUGCUCAAUGAAGAUCUGGAUUAAUAUGAAAUUUCUUUGAGAAGGCAGGGUUUGAGUCAGACCUUGAAAGAUGUGUAGGCAGAAUAGAGGAGAGAGGGCAUCAUGGACAGAGCAGAUAGAGGCCAAACUGUAGUUGGUUGAGCCAGUAUACUAAAGGUUAAAAGGUAGAGAGUCUAUGAUGGAGACUUAUAGGAGAUAAGGUUGGAGACUUAUUUGUGAGAACCCGUGGGGCUCUGGGGUAUGUAUAAAGAGGAGGUGACAUUUCUCCUUGUUCUGUCAGGCAAGCUGUGGGUGGAGGUCCCAGGGACAAUGGUUUUAGCUGGACAAAACCUAGACAAGAGCUCCAUUUCCUGUGGUCACUGAAAUUGUCUCAUUCUCUAGGUCUUGUUGGUCCUAAGGGUGACACUGGUGAAACUGGAGUGACUGGGGGUGAAGGUCCCCGAGGCUUUCCAGGAAUCCCAGGCAGGAAAGGAGAACCUGGAGAAGGUGCUUAUGUAUACCGAUCAGCAUUCAGUGUGGGACUGGAAACCAAGGACACCAUCCCCAAUGUUCCCAUUCGUUUUACCAAGAUCUUCUACAAUCAGCAAAACCACUAUGAUGGCACCACUGGCAAAUUCCACUGCAACAUUCCUGGGCUGUACUACUUCUCCUACCAUAUCACAGUCUACAUGAAGGAUGUGAAGGUCAGCCUCUUCAAGAAGGACAAAGCUACGCUCUUCACCUAUGACCAGUACCAGGACAAGAAUGUGGACCAGGCCUCUGGCUCUGUGCUCCUCCAUCUGGAGGUGGGCGAUCAAGUCUGGCUUCAGGUGUAUGGGGAUGGAGACCAUAAUGGAGUCUAUGCUGACAAUGUUAAUGACUCUACCUUCACAGGCUUUCUUCUCUACCAUGACACCAACUGAUCACUACUCACUCUGAGCCUCCACCAGACCCAACAGUCAAAAAGUCAAUUAAAGAACCGUCAACAUCUUUCAGCAUAGCAAAGAGAUUGAUUUUAUUGUUCAGUAUGAGAAUUUUAAACAUUAUUGGUCCAUUUACUCAUUAGUUAAUUAAUUAGGAUAGGAUUUGGUUAUGUGGAGAGAAUGAGGUGGAAUUAAUUUUCACAAAAGUCAUGUACUGUGUUUCUAGUCUUGAAGAUGAUAUGAUUCCUGGCCUCCAGGAUCUCUUAUGUAGUAGUAAUAAUAGAAUAAUAAUAACAAGUACUGAGGGAGUAUCACCCUGUAAUGACUACCAGGAAGUAGGUGACAAUGCUAUUUUGUGCCCACUGUGUCUCCUGACAUUCAUGCCAAUCAUAUAAAGUAUACAGGAAAGAUACUAAUCUCCUCUUUUUACAGUUGGGGUCCUGAGGUUGAGAAUUAAGUGGCAGAGUUAAAAAUCAAACCCAGAGCCUUGGACUUUUCUUACUAGACUGUUUUCCCUUGUAGAAGAACAUGGCCUCUUUGGAGUGGUGGUAUGGGUCUGUUUCCCACCUCACCUAAGGAUCUCUGAAUUCCUCUUCAUCAGGUCAAAUCUACUCCCAGCAGAGCUCCCUCAGAGAAGGUGGUUGGUUCUAUGGUAGGUCCCAUCCCAGCGGGACCACACAAUGGCUUCUGAACUACUCUGUACUCGCUCUUGUCUGUCUCUCCUCAUGCUCUUCUUUCCACCUAAGAAAACUGCUUCCAUCUCCAAAUGUUGAAUUCUUCCCUGUUCCUCAAGUCCACCUGGAUAGGAGCUUCUCUAAUGUGACCUCUGUUUCUUGCAAACUUUCCUUGCACACAGUGUCCCUCUGUUUUACCAUCAAUGAGUAUCCUGGAUGUGGGAGACAUCCUCACUCAAACUAGGGGCAACUGCCUGGUAAGGGCUUCCUUCACCCAUGAAUCCCUUGAAGGUCCUUGAUAAAUGCCUGAUGAAGACUGAUCUCUUGAAUCUCAUAUGUACCCAGAAUUAAUUCCACCUCAUUCUCUUCAUAUAAAUAACCAAAGCUUCAUCUGUAGAAAUAUCUUUAAUUUAGGAAUUCCCUGGUUUUAAGCACCAAAUCCUUACUCAAAUAGAUAGCUUAAACCUUUUCCAUCAGAGAAGGGGUGAUUAUGCUUUACAGAACUUAAAGAAUUCUCCUUUAAAAAGAUAACUUGAGCCUGAAAUGAAAAAUGCAGGGAGGAAUUAGGAAACCAUUCUUUCUAUGGAUACUGUCAAGACUGGGGAUGACUUGGGCCUCCUGAAUUUAUUCUUUUUAUUUUUUAUUUUAUUUUUUAAGAAGUACAGGUGGUUGAUGGUGGUUUUAGGAAAAGUAACUAUAGCGUGUGUAUUAAUAUAGGAAUGGAAAACCCAUUUUUGCCUACAGUUUUAAGUUCUGGAUGAUUCCCUUUUAUAUGUAUGUUGUUUUUCAUUAAGUGGUUAUUAUGAAAAAAUAAGACAAAAAAUAAGACAAAAAAAUAAGACAAGGCUUUGUCUUUUAAAGUACUUGCAUAUCAUUAUUUUCUAUAAAUAAAAUUGUUAUCUAACAUUAAAAGUAAAAGCACUUGCUGCAUGUGAAGUGUGUUUUUAUUUCUGGAGGAAGGAAUGUGGUUUAAAAAGGGAUGAACUUUGGGUUAGUUAGGACACAAUAUUGUGAAUAACAGAAAACCCAAACCCAAACUAACACAAGGAAAAUUAAAAAAAAAAAAAGUUUUUCUUUUUUGGAUAGAAAAUACCAGAGCUAUCCUGUUUUAGAUAAGGAAGCAAUUGUCCCUUUUUUAUCUGUUCUUUCUCUGUACCUUCUAUAGUGAGGCUUCACUCUCAGGAGCUGCAGAGUAUAGUUUGAGGCUCUGCCUCAUACGUCAAGAAGGAAUUAGCAGGGUUGGGGAUGUAGACCAGUAGUAGUGUGCUUGACUAGCAUGCUCAAGGCCUUGGGUUUAAUCCCCAGUACUGCUAAAAAUGCACAACUAAACCCCAAAACCAUAACCUGCCCAGUUCUUGUAGCUUCACAUCACACCAUUCAGCCAAAUGGAUAGUGUCAUUUCUGGUGGUUCCCAAAGAGAAGAGAGAACACUCUUUUCCAGAAGUCUCAGCAAGUAUGUACUUGUAUCUCAUCAGCUUUGGCCAGGUUUGUGGGCCCAUCUCUGACUAAUCACCGGAGUCAGGAGCACUGACUACGCUCAAUGACAAGUUUAAUUAUGGCUCAAGAAAGGGGUAUUUAGACAUAUUUUCCCUAAAGCAAAAUCUGUACACUAUUACCACAAGUGGGAGAACAGAUGAUGAAUAUGAAUCAAUGCCUGUCCACACAAACUAUUAAUGUUAUAUUUGAAUUUUCUUUGGCUUCUUAGAGAGAUAUUGCAGGCAAAUUACUGUCAGUUUUCUCUAAAAUUUCAACAAGUAGCUAAUGUCUAGUCAUGCUUAUAGUCCCAUAUCUGGCUAGGGUGAGACUCUCACAGAACUAGACAUGGUGCUAUGCUCACACGAAGUUCUCUGGGGCACAGUCCUUUCCUUUAGGAAGCAGAAGCACAGAGAAGAUCAAUCUAUAAAACACCUCCUGAGAGAAACUGUGACAGUGAUUUUAGGAUUGAUGCUCUUCUGAUGUUUUUAAGUAUAAUUGUGUAUUUAUCUAUUUCUCUUCAGUUCUGACAGCCUUUGCUUGAUGUUUCUAGGAGCUCUGUUGUUAGAUACAUACAUAUUUAGCCUUAUGUCUUUUUGUGAAUUUAGUCUUUUACCACUAUAUAAAUCUUCAUCUAUGAUAAUUUUACCUGUUCUGAAGUCUAUUUUGUCUAAAAUCACCAUAGGAAUUCAAUUCUCUUUUGAUUAGUAUUUGGAUAUCAUAACUUUUCCCAUCAUGUUACUUUAUUUAUUUAUUUUUAAAUAUUUAUUUUUUAGUUUUAGGUGGACACAACAUCUUUAUUUUAUUUAUUUUUUAUGUGGUGCUGAGGAUCGAACCCAGUGCCUCACGCAUGCCAGGCAAGCUUGCUACCACUUGAGCCACAUCCCUAGUCCAUGUUACUUUAAAUAUAUUUGUAUCAUUAGAUUCAAAAUGUGUUUCUUUUAGAUUGUGUAUAAUUGGGUCUUUUUAAAAAAUUAAACAUGAAAAUCACUUUCUUUUAAUUGGCAUUUAGAAAAUUUAUGUUUUAAUAAAAUUGUGGUCAUGGUUGGAUUUAAGGGGAUCAUUUAUUUGUUUUCUGUUUGGCACUUUUAAUUAUCCUUCUUAAUCACUUUAGAUUAUUUGAAUAUUUCAUAGUAUUUAAUCUUGAUUAAUUAAUUAGCUUUUUGGCUAUGAUUCUGUGGUGCUUUUUAGUGGUUUCUCUAGAAAUCGUAAUGUACACUUUUUUUUUACAGUAUAUGUAGAGUUAAUAUUUUACCACUUUGAGCAAACAAUAGAAAUCUUAUAACCAUAUAGGUUCCUUUAUUCUUUUUCCUUUAUGUUGUACAUGCUGUAUAUAUUACAGCUAUAUGGUCACAUAUAUUUUAAAUAAUUUAAAGGGAAAAACACUUAAUUCAGAUAUUUUUAUCUCUUUUGUUUUUUAUAUGUAACUGAAAGUUCCACAUUUCCCUCUGAGGUAGUUUCUCCUUAACCUGAAGAAUUUUAUUUAGCAUUAGAGCAAGUCUGUUGGUGAUGAAUUCCCUCAGAUUUCCUUCAUUUGAGAAUGCCCUUAUUUUGCUUAAAUACCUUAAGGAUAUUUUCUCUGGAUAUAGAAUUCUUAGUUGACAAUACUUCCCUUCCAGCACUUUAGUUUACUUUAUUGUUUUCUUCCAAUACUUUAAAGAUAUUAUCUCACUAUCUUUCAUGGUUUUAUGAGAAACCUGUGUUCAUAGUUGCCCUUAUAUGUAAUUUACCAUUUUUUCUUCUUGCUGCUUUUAAGGUUUUCUUUACCUUCGGUUUCCAACAGUUUGAUUAUGCUGUGUUUACAUGUUUUCUUUAUUUUAACCUAUUUUGGGUACAUUGAACUUCUUGAGUCUGUAAAUAUAUGUCUUUUAACAAAUUUGAAACACUUUCUGCCAUUAUUUUUUCAAAUAUAUUUUCUGAGUCUUUCUGGAAUUUCAAUGACAUGAAUGUUAGAUCAAUAGCUCUCUAAGGUUUUUUUUUUUUUACUUUUUGCUAAUAUUUCCUUUUUAGUUCUUUUUAUUACAUAAUUUCUAUUAAUAUAGUUUUAAGUUUACAGAAUUCCCUCUUAUUGAUACUCUGCUAUUGAGUCAUCUAGCAAAUGGUUAAUUUCAGAUAUUGUUAUCUCCCAGUUUAAAAAUUUUCAUUUGGUUGCAUGUGUAUUUUGUAUGUUCUUUUGAGAACACUAAUACUUCCAUUUAUUUCAAGAAUGCGCAUCUUGGGGCUGGGAUUGUGGCUCAGCAGUAGAGUGCUCACUUAGCACUGGCGGGGCCCAGGUUCAAUUCUUAGCACCACAGAAAAAUAAAGGCAUUGUGUUGUGUCCAUCUACACCUAAAUAAGUAAAUAAAUAAUUUUUUUUUAAAAAAGAAUGUUCAUCUUUACCUAUGGCUAUAAUAGGUAUUUUUAAAGACUAUCUGGCUAUAAUAGGUAUUCAAAAGACUAGUUCUAACUUGGGUCAUAUCAGGAUUGGCAUCCUUAACAUUGGUAAUAGGUUUCUUCUGCAUUGAAGAAUUUUGGAUGGUAUCCUGAAUAUUUUGAAUAUUGUGAUGUAAGACUCUAGGUUCUCUUAAAAUUUUCUAGUGAAAGUUGAUUUAUUUUAUUAUAUUUUAUUUUUGAGUAUUUGAAAGCAGACAAGUGAUUCAGGUUCAGACUUAAGUUAUGUUUUGCCUUUCACAGGUGGGUAUUCCAAAGUCAGUCCAGUUUUUGAGCCUCUGCUAUGCUUUUGGGUCUAUAUGUCCCAUGCACCUCUCAGAGUUUCAUCUGAGACUUAAAAUCUCAGCUUCAUUGUGUCUGUUCCACAUGUGUGCAAUAGAGAAUUGAGACUGGGACUUGUGAAGGUUCCUAUGCAAAAUUAGAAGAUAUCAUUUUCCAACUUUCUCCUCUGGCAUUUCCCUAUAGUCUUCAUUCCCCAGUGACCCUCCCUUUCCUGGUUCUUCCGGCCAGGAAACUGGGAUUCUUUUAGAAUUUUACUCCUUGUGACUAAGGGUCCUGCAUGAUUGUGCUGUUCUGUGUGACUGGGGAUGUUUGAGGGGUAAAGCACUGAAAGUAAAAGAUGUAUUGGGAGUUUUAGAUGAGAUAUAAAUGCUCUUCCUAUGACAAUAUUACCCAUUGGCUAGGGCUGGCUUCAGGGCAGGCCUGGAAGAGAAGACUGAAGAAAACAUGUUAGGAAAAUCAGGAAUUUCUUUUACUCUUUUUGUCACCCUGGAGUUACCUUUCCUGGUCUUCUAGUUGAGCAAGAGGUGAUAUCCCCUGGAGUUUUUCCUGACAGUGCCUACUAUAUAAUUCCAGAACUUGGCCUGCCCUUCAGGUUAAAUCCAGGAGAUAAAGAAGACAUAAAAACUCCACAAAAAAACUCCCUUUGUCUAUGGGUUAUUAUUUAAGUAUUGACUUUAGUCCUGCAUCUGUCCUGCUGUUAUUACUUUUCAGUAUUCUUAGGUAUUUUUUUUUCUUUUUCUCAACAAUGUUAGUUAUAAUCAGUGGGAAAGAUUGCAGUGGCUAACUUUAGCUUGACUAGUAUUGGACAUCCCACAUCCCAGGAUAGUCUUGAAGAAAGAAAAAGAAAAGGAAUUGAAGGAUGGCAGGCGCCCCAGGAAUCAAAUAAUUUACCUUGAACUUAAUGGAUGUCAAAGAAAAUAAAUCCAAUCUUGAGAUAGACCAUUGUCAAAAAUAUGGAAGGUACCAAAAAUUCUAUGACCAAGGAAAAUGGGGCCAAAUAAGGUCUUGACUAUGAUCCUGGCCUCUGUUUUUUUUUUUUUUCCCCCUGUGUCUGGUGAUUGAUGAGAAUACAUCAGACAUUGUGCCAGAUACAUUGUGCCAGAAGUAUUUACCUUCAAACUUAGAAUUUUUCAUGUAAUAUUUCAGUUAGGAAUGUUUGGAAAUAUCCAGAUUUUAAAAGACAGUUUAAAAAUAGUUUUUUCCUUUGAUGUAUUUGGUUUCCACGAGGUAUUUUACAGCAUGUAAACAUGAUUUUGAACAAAAUUCACUGUUUAAAAAGCACAUUUCUUCAAAAAUGAGUGAAGCAAUAAAAAUGGACAGAACUCUCCACUUUACUAGUUCUGUAUUCUUCAUAAUAUUGGCAUAAAUAAAAUUCUUGGGCUGGAAUCCAGGUUUAAUCUGCAGUGCAGAGAUAGUGCUGUGAUCAGGUUAAGGGUCUGUCCAUGGCUGUGAUGUGGUGGACACCUUCUGGAUGUUCUGCCACAUUUUUCUUGGUGGCGGACCACUCACUCCCUGACCCUUUUAGUCAGAUUAGUGCUCCAAUCAGAUCCCUGUCUCUAAAGACCAUUGAAUUAACCAGAGUAAGUACUUGGAUUAAGCUGGGUUCUAUGCUCAUCCCCUCCCCAACUCAUGUUGAAAUUUAGUUACUAUGAUGCCAGGUGCUAAAGUGUUAAUUAGGUAAUGAAAGCUCCAUCCUCAUGAAUAGACAAGUGCUGUUGUCCUGGGGUAGAUUCAGACUUUUUGCUCUCUCUUUGCCCUUCUGCCAUGUGAUGCCCUUCUGCUAUGGGAUAACAUAAUAAGAAGGUCUUUGCAAGAUGCUGUUAUCUUAAUCUUGGAGUUCCCAGCCUCUGCAAUGUGAGCCAAUAUAUUUCUGUUCUUUUUAAACAACCCGGUCUGUGGUAUUCUAUUAUAGUAUCCCCAAACAGAAAAAGAUACUGGUUCAACCAGAUCCUUGCAGGGAUGUGAAUUAGGAUGGAUGCAAAACAUGCAGACUCAAGACCCACAGGUGGCUACUUUCUGCCCUGCUUUCUACAGGGAGGGGAAGCCUAGCUGCAGAGAAAGAAACAGGCUUCCAGAGAGACAGAACUGAGACAGAAAGAAAGAGAUUUUGCCAGUCCUCUGGGUUGCUGGAAGCUUUCCACUGUUUAAUUUAGUACUUCUUGGGAUUUAGUUGUAUUCCUACUCAUGGUCCCAGGAAACACCAGUUACUAGGUUUUUACACAAUUUCCUCUUUCAACUUAAGCUAGCUGGUGUUGAUUUCUCUUAUUUGUAUCCAAAAAUACAUAAGGUCAGGAAUUAUUCUGUGACUGUGCCUAGGGACUAGCAUGAGGUCCAGUUAGGGAGAACAUUUAGUAAUGGGGUAAUAGAUUUAAAGUAUUCAAGCCCUUAUAGGAUCAAAUCUAGAACUGAAGCUUCAUGUGUAUUUGUUUUAUUAGCAAUUAAUCCCCCAGCUUAGAAAUCCCUUAUGGGGCGCAGAGACUUUCUAUUUCAUCUUUGAAUUCUUUAUAGAGAUUCAUUCAUUCUACAAUCAUUUAUUGACUAUCUAUUAUGUACCAGACACAAAAUAACUUGAAGAAUAGCAACAGAAAUAAUAAUAAUAAUAACAACCAUUUUAAAGCACGUGCUUGAUGUACAUUAUUUUAUUUAAUAAAGUACAUUAUUUUAUUUAAUCCUUUAACAGCUCAUAAAUUAAAUGUCAUCAACUAAGCUGUUAGAAAAAAAAAAAAGUUGGAGCUUAGUGAGGCUAAUUAAGUGGCUCAAAGCCACAACUAGUAAUUGUAGAAUAAAGAUCCACACUCAGGGUCGCCUGACUCUAAAGUUCAUGCUGUAGAAACAAUAAUCCCCAAUACCACUGGUGUUUUCCCCUACUGUUUUCAAGACAUUUGGGGGAUAGGCUGUUUACACAACCUGUUGCUGUAAUGUUUGCAAUCCUGUAAAUACCAGGAGUGGAAAAACUUGCCUUUGUAAAGUGAGUCAUUGAAUUUGCUAUAUGACAGAAAGUCUGGUUGUUAAAAGGAAAUAUGAUGAAAUGUCUCACCCAUCAUUCAUGUGAACUAGUUCAGAGUCCUGCACUGAGGUUCUUUGUAAUAUGAUGCAAGGGGAAAAAAAAAAAGAUCUUGCAAAAUAGUUUGUUUAUACCUAUCAAAAUAGGUUGAGUCAAGGUUCAACCAUUCUUUACUAAAAAUGCUAUGUAAAUUAAAAAUAGAAUGCUACUUCCUUAACAUGAUAAAGAAUAACAAAUUCUAAACAGUGUUGAAUGUUAUAAUAAAAUAGUGAAACAUUAAAUGCAUUCCCAUCAAACUUGGUAUAAAACAAGAAUACUUGGUUUCACCAUUCUUAGUUAAUAAUGUUCUGGAGAUCCUGUUAUUUUAUGCGCUUACCUUUGAGUUUCUUCUUGUUUUAUUUUACAUUAUUAUCACAGUCUUUCAUCAAACAGGCACCAGGGGAAAUUAAAAAAAUUUUUUUUGUUUGUUUUAUAUAUUUUUUUUAUCCCAUUUUAUAUUUUUCUGUUUUAUUUUCAGUAUUUGUUUACAAGUAAUAGAAACCCAAGUCCAAUCAGCUUGAGCAAAAAUAGGAAUUUAUUGGUUAAGAAGCCAAAAAUUACAGUGAUGGAGCAAAUUACAGUCUAGAUAGACGUGAUUCAAUGACAUGGUCAUGGGGCUACCUGUCCUCUCAUUUCAUCAUAUUCUUCUUCUUUUAAUUGUUAUCAUUUUCCAGUUGCAGAUGGUUAUAAAAAAAUCUCAAUUUCUAUCCAUUAUUCUUACCCCAGAGCUAGAAACUUUCAGUCUUCUGAUGCCUCUGUAUCAAAUCCCACUGUAGUGUGAGCCUGGCCUUGUUUAAUUCUUGUGCCCAUCCUUGAUCUAAUAUGCGCAUACCCUGUGUCUGUUGAGUCAACCCCACCUGAAUCACCUGUAAACACUGCUUGACAGAAUCUGUGGAGAAAGAGGGGUAAUUAGAAAAGUACAAUUUUUACAACAAUUUAUUUAUGUAAAUUGAAAAAACAAACUUUCAUGAGCAAAUGACCACCUCACACAUAUCUUCCGUUAUCCCCUCCUCAGGACAGGAAAAAAAGAAAAAGACAGUUAUUAUUCAGAUUUGGCUGGCAGUUGGGUGUCAUUCCUUGCAGCUGAGCUCAAGAAACUAAAUUAGAUAAUUAAACACCUUACCAAAAAAGCAAUAAUCUUAUAACGGAAAGGACAUAACUUAUAACUGAAAGCAAUAAUCUUAUAACAGUUAUAAUAUAUUAGAGGUGUUAAAACUAGCGACAUAGUAAAAAACCGGUAGAGGUAAAGCUUAUGCAAUGGGAGAAAAAUGUUAAGUCCUGAGUUAUAAAUAGAAAAUCAAGUUUUGAGUUAAAAUGCUGACCUAUUCCUCAUAAAGAAACAAACAAGCAAAUUAAAAGAAGAUAAAAACAUGAGAGUGGGUUUCUGUAUAGCAGCCCCAUAUUAGAGAUUUAGAAAGAUUUGUUGAGUUGUAAGUCUUUCCCAAUAACAGCUCCUUGUUAUGUUAGUACUUCCUAUUUUUUUCUCAUGGAUACAAUGGCUAAAGCCUUCUUAGGUAAAGUCUCAAGGCUGGAGGCCAAGACUCAGGACCAUCUUCCUCAACCUGAUCAUUCAUGUUGUUUCAUGAAUCAUCAUGAAGCCCCCCAUCACUUUGUAAUAUUCUAUUGUCUGGAUAUCGUACAAUUUAUUUCUGCAGCUACCAGUCGAUGGAUGGCCAAAUCUAAGAAUGCUGGGUCAUAUGGUUUUGUAAUUUUCAGCAUCCACACAUGUGGAUUUUGUUAUAUUUAUUCUUUUUAAUUUUUUUGUAAUUGUAGAUGGACAACAUGCCUUUAUUUUAUUUGUUUCAUUUUUAUGUGGUGCUAAGGAUCAAACCAGUGCCUCACACAUGCUAGGCAAGUGCUUUGCUGCUGAGCUACAGCCCCAGCCCCUUACAUUUGUUCUUUUUCUUUCUUUUUGAAUAAUAUUUUCUUUAUUUAUAAGUUAGAAUCAAGAGACAAAGAAAGACAGUCCAGGGGACCAAAUGGGGAGGUAACUGAACCCCCAGAGCCCCAAAUGGAGUGGAAGGAAAAAGCAAAACAGAGUAGGAAAAAAAAUUUGUUCUUAAAUAUUUCAUGUUUUAAAUGAUACUAUAAUUGGCUUAAAUACAUUUCAAUUGCUGAUUGUUUAUUGUUAAUACAUGAGAAAUAUACUACUGAUUUUUGUGUAUUUGGCCUUGUAUGCAGUGACCUUGCCAGGUCUUCACUUACUAAUUCUAACUGCUUUUGUUACAGUCUCUUAGGGAUUUUCUGUGUACGGGAUAAUCAUCAGUUUUUCCUCUAUAGUAUAUGCACUUUAUUUACUAUCCUCUUUCUUCCUUUAUUGAACUAGUACAAUGUUGAAAGGAAGUGGGAAGAGUGGACCUCCUUGUCUUAUUCUUGAUAUUUGUAGGAAAGUAUUCAAUCUUUCACUACUGAGCUUAGUGUAGGAUUUCUUUUUUUUAUUGAUUUUUAAAAAAAUUAAAUGACAACAGAAUGCAUUACAAUUCUUAUUAUAUGUAUACAGCAUGAUUUUUCAUAGUUAGCUGUAGGAUUUCUAAAAUCAUUUAUUUUUUUUUCUUAUAGAUACCCUUUUUCAGAUUGAGGAAGUUCUCUUGGAUUAUUAGUUUGCUUUGAGUUGCUAUUUUUGCGAAAUCAUGAAUGAGUGUUACAUUUUUGCAAAUUUGUGGGGGGAGAUCUAUUAAGAUGAACAUGUAGUUUUCCUUCCUUUCUCUACAAAUGUGGUAAUUUGCCUUGUUUGAUUUGCAAAUGUAAAAAAUGAGCUUUUUUUAAAAAAUAAACUUCACUCAAUCUCAUGCUGUGUGUUAUCCUUUUUGUUUAUUGCUGAAUUUGAUUUGCUAGUAUUUUGUCAAUGCAUUCCAUAUAAAUGUUUAUGAGUGAUAUUGAUGUCCAUUUUUAUUGUAGUAACUCCUUGGUUUUGGUAUCAGGGUAAUAUUGCCUUUAUGACAUGGUUUGGGAAGCAUUCAUCAUCUCUUUGUUUCUGGAACACUUUGUGUAUUCUUACUACCUCUCCUUAAAUGUUUUAUGUACUUCUUCAUCAAAGCAGUCUGGACCUGGAGCUUUCUUUGUUGAGAGAAUUUUAACUAUAAGUUCAUUUUUUAAAAAGCUGAUAUAGGGAUAUUCAGGUGUUAUAUUUUCUUUUUGAGUCACUUUCACUAGUUUAUGUCCUUCAAGGAUUUUCAUGUACAUUGAGAUACUAUUAGUAUAAUUUUCUCAUAUGUCUUUAUUUUUUAAAAAUUUGUAGUGAAUCUGUAAAAUCUAUUAUGUUUUUCCUUCCAUCAUUCCUAAUACUGCUAAAAUUAUUCUCUUAGUGUUGAUAGUCUAGCUANGCUGUUAGAAAAAAAAAAGUUGGAGCUUAGUGAGGCUAAUUAAGUGGCUCAAAGCCACAACUAGUAAUUGUAGAAUAAAGAUCCACACUCAGGGUCGCCUGACUCUAAAGUUCAUGCUGUAGAAACAAUAAUCCCCAAUACCACUGGUGUUUUCCCCUACUGUUUUCAAGACAUUUGGGGGAUAGGCUGUUUACACAACCUGUUGCUGUAAUGUUUGCAAUCCUGUAAAUACCAGGAGUGGAAAAACUUGCCUUUGUAAAGUGAGUCAUUGAAUUUGCUAUAUGACAGAAAGUCUGGUUGUUAAAAGGAAAUAUGAUGAAAUGUCUCACCCAUCAUUCAUGUGAACUAGUUCAGAGUCCUGCACUGAGGUUCUUUGUAAUAUGAUGCAAGGGGAAAAAAAAAAAGAUCUUGCAAAAUAGUUUGUUUAUACCUAUCAAAAUAGGUUGAGUCAAGGUUCAACCAUUCUUUACUAAAAAUGCUAUGUAAAUUAAAAAUAGAAUGCUACUUCCUUAACAUGAUAAAGAAUAACAAAUUCUAAACAGUGUUGAAUGUUAUAAUAAAAUAGUGAAACAUUAAAUGCAUUCCCAUCAAACUUGGUAUAAAACAAGAAUACUUGGUUUCACCAUUCUUAGUUAAUAAUGUUCUGGAGAUCCUGUUAUUUUAUGCGCUUACCUUUGAGUUUCUUCUUGUUUUAUUUUACAUUAUUAUCACAGUCUUUCAUCAAACAGGCACCAGGGGAAAUUAAAAAAAUUUUUUUUGUUUGUUUUAUAUAUUUUUUUUAUCCCAUUUUAUAUUUUUCUGUUUUAUUUUCAGUAUUUGUUUACAAGUAAUAGAAACCCAAGUCCAAUCAGCUUGAGCAAAAAUAGGAAUUUAUUGGUUAAGAAGCCAAAAAUUACAGUGAUGGAGCAAAUUACAGUCUAGAUAGACGUGAUUCAAUGACAUGGUCAUG